GGCAGUGCUUAGUUCCUUCAGUUCUUAAAAAGGGCCUUAUAAGAAAGAUUGGGAGAGACUUUUUAGCAGGGUCUCUUGCGAUAGGAUGAGGGAUAAUGUUUCUAAAC